GUGCCAGCCGCCGCGGUAAUACGGAGGGUGCGAGCGUUGUCCGGAAUCACUGGGCGUAAAGGGCGCGUAGGCGGCGCGACAAGUCAAUGGUGAAAGCCCGAGGCUCAACUUCGGGUCGGCCACUGAUACUGUUGGGCUUGAGCACUGUAGAGGCAGGUGGAAUUCCGGGUGUAGCGGUGGAAUGCGUAGAGAUCCGGAAGAACACCGGUGGCGAAGGCGGCCUGCUGGGCAGUAGCUGACGCUGAUGCGCGACAGCGUGGGGAGCAAACAGGAUUAGAUACCCUAGUAGUCC
rnacentral:rRNA from 1 species